GAUGAACGCUGGCGGCGUGCCUAAUACAUGCAAGUCGAGCGAACGGACGAGAAGCUUGCUUCUCUGAUGUUAGCGGCGGACGGGUGAGUAACACGUGGAUAACCUACCUAUAAGACUGGGAUAACUUCGGGAAACCGUAGCUAAUACCGGAUAAUAUUUUGAACCGCAUGGUUCAAAAGUGAAAGACGGUCUUGCUGUCACUUAUAGACGGAUCCGCGCUGCAUUAGCUAGUUGGUAAGGUAACGGCUUACCAAGGCAACGAUGCAUAGCCGACCUGAGAGGGUGAUCGGCCACACUGGAACUGAGACACGGUCCAGACUCCGACGGGAGGCAGCAGUAGGGAAUCUUCCGCGAUGGGGGAAAGCCUGACAGAGCAAAGCCGCGUGAGUAAUGAAGAUCUUCGGAUCGUAAAACUCUGUUAUUAGGGGAGAACGUAUGUGUAAGUAACUGUGAACAUCUUGACGGUACCUAAUCAGAAAGCCACGGCUAACUACGUG
rnacentral:rRNA from 1 species